rnacentral:rRNA from 1 species
CACGUAGGGCGCAAGCGUUGUCCGGAAUUAUUGGGCGUAAAGAGCUCGUAGGCGGUCUGUUGCGUCCGCUGUGAAAACUCGGGGCUUAACCCCGAGCCUGCAGUGGAUACGGGCAGACUAGAGGUAGGUAGGGGAGAAUGGAAUUCCCGGUGUAGCGGUGAAAUGCGCAGAUAUCAGGAGGAACACCGGUGGCGAAGGCGGGAUCCUGGGCCAGUACUGACGCUGAGGAGCGAAAGCGUGGGGAGCAAACAGG